GGGGUUCUCCUCUGUAACAAGUGCUUCAAUAUUAACACCGUUACUAGAAUGGAUAAAAUCAGGUAAGUAUGGACCAGAUCAGAAGACAACAGAUUCGACUCGAGAGAGAGAGGCGGUUUGCACAUCAAGAAUGAAGCACACGGAAGCAGGAUCUAUAUUUCAAAGGUCGAUCACAUGGGUGGCUCGCCAGUCCGCGCGCCGCUGUAGCUCUCCAGGGAAGGCAAGCAGGGGCGGACGAAUUCAGGAUCCAGCACAGCAGUUCAAAUCCAACAACAAAAAAACAACACACCCAAAAAAAAAAAAAACCCGGCCUUGCAACACAAAGCCAAAAGACUCAUCAGUAGUCUGUACAUUCAGAUUAUUAAGACAUAGUAUACACUGUGAACAUCUAAAUUGUAUAACACUUGUAACCUUCCAUUUACUCUGUUAAAUAAACUUGGUGAAAGCUUA